rnacentral:rRNA from 1 species
ACAGCAGCAGCCGCGGGAAUCCGCAGGUCCCGAGCGUUGUCCGGAUUUAUUGGGCGUAAAGCGAGCGCAGGCGGUUUGAUAAGUCUGAAGUUAAAGGCUGUGGCUCAACCAUAGUUCGCUUUGGAAACUGUCAAACUUGAGUGCAAGAGGGGAGAGUGGAAUUCCAUGUGUAGCGGUGAAAUGCGUAGAUAUAUGGAGGAACACCGGUGGCGAAAGCGGCUCUCUGGCUUGUAACUGACGCUGAGGCUCGAAAGCGUGGGGCGCAAACAGGAUUAGAUACCCGUGUAGUCCCUGUCUCUUAUACA